rnacentral:misc_RNA from 1 species
UUUCCGUAGGUGAGCCUGCGGAAGGAUCAUUAUUGUAUAACCGAGGUGCGAGGGCUGUCGCUGACCCGAAAGGUCGUGCACGCCCGAGUGCCCUCACACACAUCCAUCUCACCCUAUGUGCACCACCGCGUGGGUCCCCCUUUGGCUUGUUCGGAGGGGGGCUUACGUUUUCACACAAACUUUGUAUGCAGUGUAGAAUGUAUUUUUUGUUUUUGCGAUCACGCAAUCAAUACAACUUUCAACAACGGAUCUCUUGGCUCUC